AUUGAACGCUGGCGGCAGGCCUAACACAUGCAAGUCGAACGGUAACAGGAAACAGCUUGCUGUUUCGCUGACGAGUGGCGGACGGGUGAGUAAUGUCUGGGAAACUGCCUGAUGGAGGGGGAUAACUACUGGAAACGGUAGCUAAUACCGCAUAACGUCGCAAGACCAAAGAGGGGGACCUUCGGGCCUCUUGCCAUCGGAUGUGCCCAGAUGGGAUUAGCUAGUAGGUGGGGUAACGGCUCACCUAGGCGACGAUCCCUAGCUGGUCUGAGAGGAUGACCAGCCACACUGGAACUGAGACACGGUCCAGACUCCUACGGGAGGCAGCAGUGGGGAAUAUUGCACAAUGGGCGCAAGCCUGAUGCAGCCGUGCCGCGUGUAUGAAGAAGGCCUUCGGGUUGUAAAGUACUUUCAGCGGGGAGGAAGGGAGUAAAGUUAAUACCUUUGCUCAUUGACGUUACCCGCAGAAGAAGCACCGGCUAACUCCGUG
rnacentral:rRNA from 1 species